rnacentral:snRNA from 1 species
AUACUUACCUGGCAGGGGAAACACCAUGAUCAGGAAGGUGGUUUUCCCAGGGCGAGGUUCACCCAUUGCACUGCGGGUGUGCUGACCUCUGCGAUUUCCCCAAAUGUGGGAAACUCGACUGCGUAAUUUGUGGUAGUGGGGGACUGCGUUCGCGCUCUCCCCUG